ACAGUUACCCGUCAUCCCACCAUAGGUCCAGAGUCCAUGUACAUGUGCCGGUGUUGGCUAGGUCCUGUUGUCUGCCUGGGUGAGCCCCGGAGCAGAGCAUAAAAAGUCCAGGUUUGGAAAUCCCACACAUCAGGUUUAAAUUUUCUUUUCACUGGAUGAUCUUGAGCAGUUCUCUAUGCUUCAAUGUCCCAAUCUGGAAAAUGCUGAUAAUUGUGAAAUAAUUCUGUAAUGCAGCCCAGGGACUGGAAAAAAUGGAUUCUUUACUACUGAGGCAUUGGGAAGCCCUGACAGAGGUUUGCUCUUCACCAAACCUUCCUCAGAGUAAGACAGAGCACUCUAAAUUAGCUCCAGAAAUGACACUCUGGUUUAUUGGACAAGGUGGCCUGAAGUCUAACACAAAACAAGAUAUUCUGAGAGAUUUCAUUAGACUCCAACUUCAGAGGCAGUGCAUUAUUAGAUCCCAUGAGGUCAUUUUCCAAGAUGUGAUGGGUUGAAGAUCAAAUCGUCUACCUACUGUUGUGAAGGAAGAGUUGGGAGGACCUAAAAUCCUGGAUUACACCUUCAGUCUCCUGAGAAACUGCUGGCCACAACUACAGCUCAAGUUCCUGACAUGAGUCACUUGGAUGUUGAUCCUGCUAAUAAACAUGCGAACAAACUCGUGCAGGAACACAAAUCAAUAGUUUUUUUGUUUGCUUAUUCAUUUUUUAGAACAAGUCUCUAAAUUACUUACAAGAUUGACUCUUUCUGACGUAUUAAAAUUCUAGAAUUUAGCCCAUCCAGGUAAAUACAGAGGUCUUCAGCAAAUGUACCUUUCUCAAUAUUACAGUCUCAAAAGAGUCUCUCAUUAAAAACCAAUACUCAUUCCCUUUUGUUUUUCUGAAGAUGUAAAUGAUUGAUUGGCAAGCAAUUUUAAAUAUCUUGUUUAUAAUUAUGGGACUGUACAUUGAUGGUUUUAUUAUUAUAGGUAGCAGUUCAGAGUAUCUCUUGGGAGUCCAGGAAGUUGUUGGACUGCUAUUGGGUGCUCUUACAUAUGUUUUCAGAGCUUAAUUUCCCCUUUGGUGCAGUGGAUUUAAGAAUACUACCUAUCAGGACUUGGGGGAAAAUUAUAUGUUUGCAAUACCACUGCCAUGUGCUUGGUGACAUAAUAGCUUCGUACAUGGGAGAUGUCAUUAUUUAUAUGAUUAUAAAUUAGAAUGUGUUAUCGCUAUUUUUUCUGCUCAUUUUAUCUUUCUUGUUUUCUUCUUUGCUUUGUUCUUCCUCACUGAUUAAAAACGAGGUCUGUUUUGAAUAACGGUACUUUGACCAGAAACAUUAUGAGGAGGACUUUUGUUUGUUUGUUUGUGAUUUUUAAGUAACAGGGAAACUGAGACCUAGAGUUUAAAUAACUUGACCAAAAUCAACCAGCUGAUUGUGACAGAGAAGAAUAUGAACACAGGAUUCUGGUCGCCAAUGCCAUUUUCUUAGGUUUAUGCUCCUCUGAUUAUUCUUGGACUCAAGAUAAAGAGUUAUUGGAUUUUGAAGUUGAAAACUGAUAUAGGGGGAAAAAUGUAUAAUUCACUGCUGUUCAUUUGGUGGAAAACCAUCCAGCUGAUUGAUUGGUAGAGCCCUAUGUCUCUUUGUUAAUAGUGUUUGGCUGUUGGGUUCAUUAAUAUUUCUGCUAGAUGCAAAAUAUUAUAUAUAGAAUGGACAAACAGCA